rnacentral:lncRNA from 1 species
GUAGUAGCUUCAUCUGGUUUGAGUAUUCAGGUGACGGUGGGUUCAUAGGAUGUCUUUGAGAUUAUUCCUUCUUCAACCUUUUGGAAAAGUUUAAGAAGGAUGGGUAUAAGUUCUUUGUAUAUUUGGUGGAAUUCACCUGUGAAGCCAUCUGGUGCUGGACUUAUCUUUGUAAGGAGUGUUUUUAUUACAUAUCCAAUUUCAUUUCUAGUGAUCAGUCUGUUCAGUUGAUCUAUUUCUUCUUGAUUCAGUUUUGGCAGGCUGUAAGUCUCUAGAAAGUUGUCCAUUUCUUCUAGGCUGUCAAAGUUGUUGGCAUAUAAUUGUUCAUAGUAUUCUCUUAUGGUUUUGUGUAUUUCUGCAGUAUCCUUUGGUUGGGAUUCAAUGGCUGGCACAGCUGAGGCCUGGUUGGCAUCCUCUGGCAUCAUCUUUUUCACUUCUUAUUUUAUUUAUUUGAGUUUUUUCUCUCUUCUUGGUAAGUCUGGCCAGAGGUUUGUCAAUUUUCUUUACCUUUUCAAAGAACCAGCUCUUGGUUUUAUUGAUGUUUUCCUAUUGUUUUUUGAAUCUCUAUUUUAUUGAUUUCCUCUCUGAUCUUUAUGAUUUCCUUCCUUCAGCUGACUUUAGGUUUUGUUUGUUCUUCUUUUUCUAAUUCUUUUAGGUUAAGUUGUUGAUUUGAGAAUGAGAACAGGGAUGUGAAAAAGCCUUGAAGGACAGAGAGAAACAACAGAUGGUUCUGUUUGGCUGGAGGGAAGGGGGACGAACCCACACGGGGUGGCUGAGGGGCCUCAGGUCAUGCCCUCCCCUGAGCCCUUCCCAGAGGAUGCCAGCCAGGGCUCAGUGGUGCCAGCCGUUGAAUCCCAGCCAAAGGAAACAGGUCAGCAGCAGGCACAUGACCCAAAAUGGACCAACAAUGAUUUCCUGGAGACUUUUCUUCCACAUCAGUUUUUUAAGAAUCUUCAUUCAUCUGGGGUUGCUAAACUGACAGAGUGGAGGCUGCCAGGGCCAUCUCUCCACUGUGUGGAGAAGGCAUCUUAGGGACAAAGCAAAUGAUGCUGAUCAAGAGAACCAGAGACAGAGACUGAAAAAGGAUGCAGAGGACCCAGCUGGAAGCUCUGGCUCCAGCCACGCCCGAAAUUCGGAAUGCAUUUGUGUAUCUUGGACUUUCCAGUUACAUGAAGCAAUAGUUUUGUUUCCUUAAAUUCUGUGGGGAUUUUUGAUCCUAAUGCAGUGAGUCUGAGAUACCUCUGGACCAUCCAAAUGGGAAUGUCCAAAAUGUGUCUACAGCUCAGGAGACAAGUCAGGCGGCAUCACUGGAUUUGGGGGUGUCCCCGUGGAGUUGAAAGCUCAGGAGGGAACGUCACUGUCAGUGGAGACCCAUGAGUGAAAGAGCCUCGGGCCGAUGCCUGAGCCCCGGGGAGCACAGGGAGGGGAAACCAGGUGAUAAGACUGAGGAGGAAAACACGAGGGAUCUGGCACCAGAGAAGGAUCCACCCUCCCAGGAACACUGGAAACACACACACCCCCGAGGCUGGGAGGGGGAGGGGGGUCCAAGUGUAACUGAAGGUCAAAGGCCAGAUUCUACAGCCAUUUCCGCCAUCAUCUUCUCUCCGACAUGUGGCUAGUCCCUCCCUGAAGGUCUCUUCUGUGGGCUUCUCUACUGCCUCCUCGCUGUCCUGUCCCCAGCGUCUUGUCCCUCCUUCCUCCACGCCCCUCUGUGAAUCGUCAUUCUCUAGCCAGCCUUGAGCGUGUAGUGUUUCUCAAGGAUCUGAGACUUGAGUUUCUUGCUACUUCCUGCUAUGCAUUUGCUAGCCCAGUGACAGCCCAUAACUGUCAGACCUCCAGUACAAUCCUGGAGUCCCCAAAUCCACACCCAUAGCUCAGGAGCCACUGAAACUGUGUGGUCCAGGCAGGUCUCCUCCCUAAACAGAUGUCAGGUCUGUUCAUGGAGAAUUGUGAAGGAAGAACUCCCCGAGAGAGCAACCAGGGACCACUGGGGCCACCGCCUCCAGGUGUGCAUGUUGAGCACUGCACAAAAAUGCUCAGAGGAAAACCCCCCCUGGGCUGAAAUCAGGCCUGUGCGCCACUUUCCAGGCCACUCUCUUUGGGGCUGGGCUGUGUCCCCCAGGAGAAGAGCUGUCGUUUCCUCAUCAGCACAAUGGCGCUUGCCAAAGCCACACACCUGAAAACCUCUUACUACCCAGACUGGCGCCUUUUCUAGUUUUGUUUUUUUGUUUUGUUUUGUUUUGCUUUUUAGGCAGAACUUACAGCAUACGGAGGUUCCCAGGCUAGGGGUCAAAUGGGAGCUACAGCUUACGGCCUAUACCACAGCCCCAGCAACACAGGUUCCAAGCCAUGUCUGUGACCUGCACCACAGUUCACGGCAAGGCCAGACUCAACUCACUGAGCAAGGCCAGGGAUUGAACCCGAAACCUCACAAUUACUAGGCAGAUUCAUUUCUGCUGCGCCCCAAAGGGGAAUUCCUAGUUUUUCCAAAGACAAAUUUUGGACUGACAGAGGCUCAGGGGACUCAGAAGACCUUGAGUAAGGGGGGAUCUUUCCAGAGAGCAGAGCAGGGGACUGUCACAUAACCAAGGGACUGCCUCCUUUGUGAUGGAGGGAGUCUUCAGACGUCCUGUCCUAGAGGACUGGUGGUUGUGUCAGACCCGUGGCUGUGCCAGCUUUCCAUUCUCGCCUUUUCCAACAAUGUGUGUAUGGCGGUUGCCCUGCUUCUUCUCCGCCACCGCACACCGAGCAUGUCGGGAGCGGCAGAGAUGACCUGGCCCGGGAGGGUUUCAGUCACCAACAGUAAGGACGUCCCAGUGUGAAGGCAUAUGCACUGCCCCUCAGACAGAGACCCCGGCUUCAAGUUGCUCAAGACUUCGGGGUUGUCUCCCUCAAGACGGAGGUGUCUUCUUUGUAGAAGGACAAGAGUAUAUUUGGUUCCCAAAAUGGUGCGCUGAGGCCAGGUGCAAGUUGCUAGCUUAAAGAUUAUACUUCUCAGCCUCCCAUAUACUUACGUGUAGCCAUUGGUUUACAUUUUAGCCAAUAGUAUGAAACCAAAGUUGCUGCAGAGUACUUAAAAAGAAGAUUAGACAGUUGCUGGUGUAGGCAUUAUUUUCCUACUCUUUCUCCUGCUUCUUGCCUGGAAAGUAAAGAUGAUGGCUGGUGCUCUAGCAGCCAUAUCUGACUAUGAGGCAAUUCCAAGAUGGAAGCUACAAACUAAAAUGGUGACACAGAAAGAUAGCAGUGUUCCUUGGCCCCUAAAAGACACACCAGGUUUUUGUUUUUGUUUUUGUUUUGUCUUUUUAGGGCCACACCUGUGGCAUAUGAAAGUUCCUAGACUAGGGGUCGAAUCAGAGUUGCAGCUGCUAGCCUAUACCACAGUCACAGCAACCCUGGAUACCAGCUAUGUCUGUCACUUACACUGAAUCUCGCAGAAGUGCCAGUUCCUAACUCACUGAGCAAGGCCAGGGAUUGAACCUGAGUCCUUAGAGAUAUUAGUCGGGUUCUUAACUUGCUGAGCUACAACAGGAACUCCAUUAUGCCAGUCUUUUCAUGUUAACUACAGUGUACCUUCAUCUGGGGUAAGACAUGUUUUUUUCCUUGGGUUUGAUUCUAGUAACUAAAUGUAAUUCCUAACAAAUACCCUAUAAACAUGCAGAAAAUUUUAUCUACGGUUGUACUCUCUCCCACUAAGUCAAAGCUGAUGUGCCAGCUACCUCAAACUCAACACUUUCAAAAUCAAAUUCAUCUUCACUGUGUCCAGCCCCAUCCCCCACUGAGUCUGUUCUUCAGCUUGGGGUGUGUGGGGAUGAGUAACUGAAGAGCUGACAAGCAGUGGAGCCUGGACCUCAGGAAGAUGGACAUAUACCAGGACUGGCUGCCUGAGAGUUAGGAGGAAGGGCUCCCAGCCACAUACCAGGACCCGUGCUGGGCUAAAACCCCACUGUGGAAUCCUCGCAGGCUCAGCUUGUCCCAGACUGAGGGUGUAAGGGUGAAUAAAUACCCAGCCUUAGCCGGGGAGACAGGAAUGGCCUCUCAGGAGGCCCCAGGUGUUUUUUAUGAGAGUGGAUAAACUAUGGCCCAGUUAUUACUGUUGUAAAUGUCUAGUAAUAUUUUAUCAUGAAAUGCCCCUAGAGGAAGCAUUGGGAAAAAACCUCUCAAUCAUGUCACAUCGGUGGCAGCCAGGAAAUGGCUGUGUUCUCAGGUUUAUUGGGCCUGAGUGAGAGGGAGGGUGUGUUUACAAUGUGUGCUGUCUGUGCUUGUGAAGUGUAUGGAGUGUAAAUAUGUACACACAUGUGUGCCCGUAGGAACCUGCUGUGUGCAGACAGCGCAUGAAGAGAGGGGGUACAGAUGGUCAAAAGGCACAUGAAAAGAUGCACGAAUUGCUAAUUAUUAGAGGAAUGCAAAUCAAAACUACAGUGAGGUAUCACCUUAACACCAGUCAGAAUGGCCAUCAUCAGAGUCUACAAAUAAAUGCUGGAGAGGGUGUGGAGAAAAGGGAACCUUCCUACACUGGUGGUGUGAAUGUCAACUGGAGGACAGUAUGAGGUUUCCUUAAAAAGCUAAAACUAGAAUUAUCAUGUGAUCCUACAAUCCCACUCCUGAGCAUACAUUGGGAGAAAACCAUAAUUGAGAAAGAUACUUGCACCCUGAUGUUCAUAGCAGCACUAUUUGCAAUAGCCAAGACAUGGAAGCAAUCUAAGUGUCCAUCCACAGAGGACGGUUAAAGAAGAUGUGGUACAUAUAUGUAAUGGAAUACUACUCAGCCAUGAAAAAUAUGAAAUAAUGCCACUUGCAGCAACAUGGAUGGACCUAGAGAUUAUCAUAUUAAUUGAAGUAAGCUUGACAGAGAAAGACAAAUAUCAUAUGCUAUUACUUAUAGGUGGAAUUUAAACAAAAUGAUACAAAGAAACUUAUUUACAAAACACAAACAGACCCACAGACAUAAAAAACAAACUUACAGUUUUGGUAACUGUAAGGGGAACAGGAGGGGAGGGAUAAAUUAGGAGUUUGGGAUUAACAGAUACACAAAUCUAUGUAUAAAAUAUAUAUCACAGGGAACUAUAUUUAAUGUGUUAUAAUAACCUAUAAUAGAAAAGGGUCUGAAAAAGAAUAUUACAUAUUUAUAAAGAGUGAAGGAGGCGUGUGUGCCUUUCCCAGGCAGGAACACCUGUGGUGUGAGAGUUUCACAUUUGUCUCGAACCUUCUUGUCUACACACCCCCUCCGACCUCACAAAAGCUUGUGAGGCAAGGAUUCAUAUUGCUCCUACUUUUCAAGGGAGGAGACUGAGGCACAGAGAGGCAGAAUCCCCCCAAAAGAAAUUUCCUUCAGGAAGAUGUCACCAUGCCCAGCGCCCUUUGAACACAAGGAACUCAGCGGGAGAGGAGGUGACGUGCCAAUCACUAGGAUGUCAGCGUCCACUUGUCCAUCAGAGGCUCCUGCAUCCCAGUCACGCAAGUAUCCGUUCACGUAGUCAUUUGUUCUGCAUUUGCUCAAGCACGUCAAGCCGCCGGCUUCCUGGCCAAGUGUGGGAGAGACGAGGGGAGAGACCUGGGCUCCCGUAAGUGGCACUAAGAGGACACAAGGCACAAGUGGGAGGAGAAUAGAAGACGGGGAUCUAAGGAAGGGAGCGUGGGCAACAUUUAAUUAAAUUGUGAAUACGUUUCAAGCUUUCUUUUCUUUACAAUGAGGCUCUGCCUGAUUGAAUUUCAGAACCUUGGAGUUUCUGUUCAAAAUGCCUUCCAAAAUUAGCACUGGGCCUCUGCAGCAUCCCCUGAGGUGCCCCAGGGCACUGCACCUCCCCUCCUCGGGCACCUGCUUCCUGGGGGCUCUCUCAUCCUGGAGGGGGUGGGAGUUACCAGACAGGGCUCUGACCCCAGCUCUUUCUGGAGGGAGCUGGGUGGCUCUGGAAAGUGGUCACUCCCUGGGUCUCCAUUUAUCCCCGGUGAAAUUAGCAGGAAAGUGGAGCUGGGAUUUGGGGGGAAAGCCUGAAUAUCCUUUGACGGCUCUGAAAGGGAGGGCAUUGUUGUGACAAGGCCAGGCCUGUGAGCCUCUGAGCCCAUAACCACUGCUCCUCGUCCGUUUGACUCUCCCAGUGCUUUCUCAUCUAUUCUGUGAAAUCUUUACUUCUUCCCUUCAAGACCAUUCUGGUCUGGAGCUCCUGUUGCGGCACAGCGGGUUAAGAACUCGACUAGUAUCCAUGAUGAUCCCGGUUUGAAACCUGCUCUCGCUCAGUGGGUUGGGAUUCCGGCGUUGCUGUGGCCGUGGUGUAGGUCACAGAUGCGGCUGUGUUCGACCCUUAGCCCGGGAACUUCCACAUGCUCUAGGUGUGGCCCUAAAAAGAAAGAAAAAAAAUGACCUUUCUGUUCUAAGAAAAGUGAAGUUUUAGAGGAGGUUUGAGGCUUCCCAGAAGCCUCAGAAUAAGUCAGUGUAGAAACUAGAAAUCAGACCCAGGACCCUGGGCCAGGGAUCCAAUCAUUCCUUGCUUCCUUCUUUCCAUACCUUCUGGGUACCAGGUGCACAGCAAUAAACUGGGCCUGGUGCCUGCUGGCAGGAGGGUGCCAUCUAGUGGGGGAGGGAGGCAAGCCCACACCCACUGUGACAAUGAUAGGGUGGAAUAAGCCAGCUGCAGAGAUGCAGAAGAGGGUCCCUCCACCUCGGCCUGCUGGGGUCACUGAGAGUCACUCUGUGCUUGCCCGGUGCAUCACAGUGGGAGGAGUGAGGCAUGGCUUGCAGCCCUGCCCAGAUGCUGUGGGCGGAGGGCAGGGGUGGUAGGGUGGGGGAUGGGGGGUGCAGGAGGUGAUGGCCCAUCCCAGUGGGUCUCGCUCCCAGCCUCCCUGACUCUAGCUCCUCCAUCACCCCUGUGUCUCUGAGUGAGCCCUGACCUCCGUUCCCUCUGGGAACCUUGGCUUGCAGGGGCUCAGCCUCCAGCAGGCCUCUGCACACCGCUGGGCUCUGGCUCUGGGAGGACUGGGGGUCAGGCGUUAGGCUGAGCAGGUGCACACUUGCUUCCCGUUUAGUCUCAGCGACUACAAAGGGCCGCUUGGAUUUCUGGGAGAAUCCUAUCCCCUUCCCUCCCCUUCAUUCAUGAGUUUUCUUUAUCAUUUCAUUUUUAACAAAAUACAGAGGUUAAUUUUCCGAGCUCAAAUCUGUUCCCAAGGUCAAAGCUGUUGCGAACACG